UACGAAGGGUGCAAACGUUGCUCGGAAUUACUGGGCGUAAAGCGCACGUAGGUGGUUUGCUAAGUCAGCUGUGAAAUCCCCGGGCUCAACCUGGGCACUGCAGUUGAAACUGGCAAGCUAGAGUAGGGUAGAGGGGUGUGGAAUUCCAGGUGUAGCGGUGAAAUGCGUAGAUAUCUGGAGGAAUACCGGUGGCGAAGGCGGCAUCCUGGACCGACAUUGACGCUGAACGGCGAAAGCUAGGGGAGCAAACGGG
rnacentral:rRNA from 1 species